rnacentral:tRNA from 1 species
GGUUGGUUAGCUCAAAUGGUCAUAAUGUGGUGCUUAUAACGCCAAGGUCAUGGGUUCAAUCCCCAUACGGCCA